CAGCUAGCAAGCUGAAGAAUAAGUCAAUAAUUAGCAAGGUUUUCACAGUCUGGUACAGCCAGAACUUUCUCCAGUGUGCACGGUGGAUCUCAGCUCUUUAUGGUUACUGUGAGAUUUACAGAAUCACAUGAAGCCAUUAAAUGUUUCAGUCAGGCAUCCCCUUUUGGCCGCUGCUGGAGGAAUGAUACUGGGCUACAGACAUUUGAU